GAUGAACGCUAGCUACAGGCUUAACACAUGCAAGUCGAGGGGCAGCACAGUGUAGCAAUACAUGGGUGGCGACCGGCGCACGGGUGCGUAACGCGUAUCCAACCUUCCCGUUACUCAGGGAUAGCCUUCCGAAAGGGAGAUUAAUACCUGAUGGUGUUGAAAUUCCGCAUGUUAUUUCAACUAAAGAUUUAUCGGUAACGGAUGGGGAUGCGUGACAUUAGGUAGAUGGCGGGGUAACGGCCCACCAUGCCUACGAUGUCUAGGGGUUCUGAGAGGAAGGUCCCCCACACUGGAAUUGAGACACGGUCCAGACUCCUACGGGAGGCAGCAGUGAGGAAUAUUGGUCAAUGGUCGGAAGACUGAACCAGCCAAGUAGCGUGAAGGAUGAAGGUUCUAUGGAUUGUAAACUUCUUUUAUACGGGAAUAAAACCUCCCACGUGUGGGAGCUUGUAUGUACCGUAUGAAUAAGCAUCGGCUAACUCCGUGCCAGCAGCCGCGGUAAUAC
rnacentral:rRNA from 1 species